UACGUAGGGGGCAAGCGUUGUUCGGAAUUACUGGGCGUAAAGCGCACGCAGGCGGUAACGCAAGUCAAUUGUCAAAGGCUGAGGCUCAACCUUAGUUCCACAAUUGAAACUGCGUAACUAGAGUAUGUGAGAGGGAAGCGGAAUUCCUGGUGUAGCGGUGAAAUGCGUAGAUAUCAGGAGGAACACCGGUGGCGAAGGCGGCUUCCUGGCACAAAACUGACGCUCAUGUGCGAAAGCCAGGGCAGCGAACGGG
rnacentral:rRNA from 1 species